UUAGGGGUGUGCAUCGGUCGGAUCCGGUCGGAUUCGGUCCGAAAAAUCUCAUCUGAUAUGAAACCGAGAAGGGAAUAAACAGACCCAUUUUCGUCCGCCAAGAGCAUCGGUUUCAUCGGGUGCGGUUGAAAUCGGUGGCGGGUUGCACGGUUCAGUUAGUUCGGGUUUGCAUCUCUAUUCUUGAGUUUAGUAGGAAGAUUUGUUCAAGAUUGAGGAAGGUGAUGGAAAGUUUUUUGCUGGAAACAAUAUGAAGUGAGAAGAAAAUAUUUUAGAUGAAGGUGGUUUUUUAAGUGAAGUUUGACUUUUUGAGACAUCAUUCUUUGUUGUUGAGAGAGAAUGAAGUUUUUUUUUAGAGCAUAAACUCAUGUUGCUGCAGAGAAGGAAGUUGUAGCUAGUGAGAGAUAGAGAGGGUGCAAAGCUUUGAACUCAAAAAAAGGAAGACGAAGCAUUAGAAAGAUAAUAUCUAAAGUUAUCAAAAAGAAAAGUUAUAAGUUUUAAAUUUAUUACUUAUUGUUAAAUACUAUUAAUUUAAGUUAUAACUUAUGUCUAGUAUAGUCUAGAUGAUUACAAAUCAGUACUAGUAGCAGACACACUAAGCUAAAGAUAUGAUUUUUUUAGCUUCUCUCAAAUAGUGAUGUGACUUGACAAGAGAAAAUGAGAAAUAAACAUAAAUAAAUAAAGAACAUGUCAGGCAAAAGCACGUGAACUGAACACAUAUGAGUCUCAAACAAUUUGCAUAAGUUUCUUGCAAUACCUUUCGGUCAGGCUCGGUCUCCGACGGUGUUUUUAUUUUAAAUCCGAAACCGACCAACAAUAACCAUGUCAAACUGGUUUUUUCAAUUUUUUAGACCCGUGAACCGACCCACACCCGCCCGUUCGGUUUAUUUUUUAUCGGUUUUAUCGGGUUUCGGUCGGAUUNNN
rnacentral:lncRNA from 1 species